UACGUAGGGGGCUAGCGUUGUCCGGAUUUAUUGGGCGUAAAGAGCGUGUAGGCGGCCAUGUAGGUCCGGUGUGAAAACUCGAGGCUUAACCUCGAGAUGUCAUCGGAAACCAUUUGGCUAGAGUCCGGAAGAGGAGAGUGGAAUUCCUGGUGUAGCGGUGAAAUGUGCAGAUAUCAGGAAGAACACCCGUGGCGAAGGCGGCUCUCUGGAACGCAACUGACGCUGAGACGCGAAAAGCGUGGGGAGCAAACAGG
rnacentral:rRNA from 1 species